rnacentral:lncRNA from 1 species
CAACAGCACACGAUGCUCUUCUGUUUUUAACCAGAAACAAUGUAAAUUAAAGAGUUUUAUGAUAAGUAAGGAAAGCAUAAGUGUAGGCAAAGUUGCUGAAUAUGCCCAAAGUCAUUCUACUUUUGCUCUGAACGAACAAUCGGAAACGUUGAAUGCAUGAAUUUUUUAUCACUUCUUAUUGUAGACACGAUAUUAAGAGACACAAAUCAAUCGAUUUAUUUGUCAGAAGUGACCCAAGAACUAUUCCAAGUUAACCCUUUCGGUACCUCGAAUGUAUAAGAUAGCGCGGCCUCUCUUCGUCUCAUCGUCACUCAAUUGGAGAUCAUACUAUUGUGCAGACGUAAAAUGGAUCUCCUUAAGAUAAUUAAAAGAUACAGAUCAGACAUUGAUCCAAAGCUUCAGCAGUUCGAUGGGAAGUGCUUAAGUACUUUUAGCAGGGAAGAUUUAUUACAAGUAGCCACCAAAAUAAAGAUACAAUUAAAUGACAUUUUAGUGCCCCUAAACGUGCAUGAAACGAGAGAGAACUUAUGCAAAGUUGUUAGUUUUGCACUAUAGCAAGAGUACGCAUUGAAAGAGGAUAAGGUUGAAGAACCUCCAAAGAAGAAAAAUAAAACUACAGAAAACAAGUCGUCAGGGGUAAGUUUCUAAGUUUAUUUGACGC